rnacentral:rRNA from 1 species
CUACGGGAGGCUCCAGUGAGGAAUAUUGCACAAUGGGGGGAACCCUGAUGCAGCAACGCCGCGUGGAGGAUGACGCAUUUCGGUGUGUAAACUCCUUUUAUAUGUCAAGAAAAUGACGGUAGCAUAUGAAUAAGCACCGGCUAACUCCGUGCCAGCAGCCGCGGUAAUACGGAGGGUGCAAGGUUACUCGGAAUCACUGGGCGUAAAGGACGCGUAGGCGGGUUGGAAAGUCAGGUGUGAAAUCCUACAGCUUAACUGUAGAACUGCACUUGAAACUUCUAAUCUAGAGUAUGGGAGGGGGAGAUGGAAUUAGUGGUGUAGGGGUAAAAUCCGUAGAUAUCACUAGGAAUACCUAAAGCGAAGGCGAUCUCCUGGAACAUUACUGACGCUAAGGCGUGAAAGCGUGGGGAGCAAACAGGAUUAGAUACCCCAGUAGUC